CAGCCGUAAACUAUGCGCGUUAGGUGUACUGGUGACCACGAGUCACCGGGUGCCGAAGGGAAACCGUGAAACGUGCCGCCUGGGAAGUACGGUCGCAAGGCUGAAACUUAAAGGAAUUGGCCGGGGGAGCACCACAACGGGUGGAGCCUGCGGUUUAAUUGGACUCAACGCCGGAAAUCUCACCGGAUAGGACAGACAUAUGAUAGUCGGGCUGAAGACUCUACUUGAUGAUCUGAGAGGAGGUGCAUGGCGUCAGUGACU
rnacentral:rRNA from 1 species